AACAGGAUUAGAUACCCGGGUAGUCCACGCUGUAAACGAUGAUCACUCGUUGUUGGCGAUAAACUGUCAGCGACUGAGCGAAAGCAAUAAGUGAUCCACCUGGGGAGUACGGCGGCAACGCUGAAACUCAAAGGAAUUGACGGGGGCCCGCACAAGCGGAGGAACAUGUGGUUUAAUUCGAUGAUACGCGAGGAACCUUACCUGGGCUUGAAAGGGGAAUGACCUCCCGGGAAACUGGGACUCUCUUCGGAGCAUUCUCCUAGGUGCUGCAUGGUUGUCGUCAGCUCGUGCCGUGAGGUGUCGGGUUAAGUCCCAUAACGAGCGCAACCCCUAUUGUUAGUUGCCAGCGGGUAAUGCCGGGAACUCUAACGAAACUGCCGGUGUAAACCGAGAGGAAGGUGGGGAUGACGUCAAAUCAGCACGCCCUUAUGUCCAGGGCUA
rnacentral:rRNA from 1 species